CCUCGGCGGCAGCAGGGGCGCUGGUGGUGACCCUCGGGGGGUCUGUGCAGUCCAGUGGCUCCCUCGGGACAGGCUGGCCAGGCCAGGCUGGGCUGAGAGUCACGGCUGCUGGCAAGAAGGGGAGCUGGAGUCAGGGUGGCGCAGGGAGGGCAG